UCGAUUUAUUUUGCGUUAUUCUCAUUCUGCUAGAAAAAAUGUAGCCAAACUUUGAACUAGUCUCAAAUAAGAUCUGCGCCAUGAGAACAUGAUACACCAGUCUACAUUUCUGCUCGACUUAUUGGUCAAAUGAACUUUGACCCGCCUUUCCCCCCAAAACAAACACACAACAGUAAAUGGGUAGAUAUUAAGACAUUAAAACAUAAGAGAUUAUAACACUAACAAAAGUGAUUGUUUUUUCAAGCCUAACUAAUAAAAUGAUGUUUAGAAACCAAUUAUGUGUAAACAUCGGUGUCACGAUAUAGCACGGAAGUUAUGAAAUUGUAAAGCACAAAGGGAUACGUUAACACUUCUGAUAACGGUUCAAUGAUUUUACAGUCGGCAGUAUUUGAUUUUAGUUGAAAGUCUUCAUACACCCAAAAACAUGAUGCACACUGAGGUACCCACUGACACAACACAUGAAACAUGUGGCAAUACUAAGUUAGGCUACCUCAACUUGAUAUGUUUAACUAAGUGUGCGUCCUCAGUCGAUAUUUGAACAAACAACAUUCUAUAAUUUGACGUUCAAAGUGUGAAAAAAAUGAGACGUUUUUUAAACAAUUUAAAUUCCACAACUACGC
rnacentral:lncRNA from 1 species